rnacentral:rRNA from 1 species
AUUGAACGCUGGCGGCAUGCCUUACACAUGCAAGUCGAACGGCAGCACGGGUGCUUGCACCUGGUGGCGAGUGGCGAACGGGUGAGUAAUAUAUCGGAACGUACCUUAUUGUGGGGGAUAACGCAGCGAAAGCUGUGCUAAUACCGCAUAAUCCCUAAGGGGGAAAGCGGGGGACCGUAAGGCCUCGCGCAAUUAGAGCGGCCGAUACCUGAUUAGCUAGUUGGUGAGGUAAAGGCUCACCAAGGCAACGAUCAGUAGCUGGUCUGAGAGGACGAUGAGCCACACUGGGACUGAGACACGGCCCAGACUCCUACGGGAGGCAGAAGUGAGGAAUUUUGGACAAUGGGGGCAACCCUGAUCCAGCAAUGCCGCGUGAGUGAAGAAGGCCUUCGGGUUGUAAAGCUCUUUUGUCAGGGAAGAAACAGCAGCUCUAACACAGUUUGCGAAUGACGGUACCUGAAGAAUAAGCACCGGCUAACUACGUGCCAGCAGCCGCCGCAG